rnacentral:lncRNA from 1 species
GAGACCACCACGGUGACUUGCAAGCAACUCACUGCACUUAGGCACUGGACUACCUGAAUUUCUAAUUCAGUGACGGAAGGCUGCUGGGUGUAGUCAAGUACUUGACUUGUCGGUGCGUGUAUCAAGAUGGGAUUGACCACUCUAGUUUAGGAGCUGUGUACAGUCGUGUUUCAAUUUAGCAAAACCUUGGCCAAGGUAGUCCUAGUGAGGAGUCACAGGACUAAU